UAGUGGAUGGGAUGAAGGGUUGGAUGAAGGAUGAACUGUCUUUUUAAUAAGCGAUUAAAUUUUACUUUUAAGUGAAAAGGCUUUAAUAAUAUAAAGUGAAGAUAAGACCCUAUAAAACUUUAUAUAAAUAUUGUCUUGUUCGUUGUAUUUGGUAAAAGACAAUAAGGCUAGAUUAUAUUUUGUUGGGGCGACAGGAAUAGAAUUUAAGUAUCUGUUUUCAUAAUGAGUUAGUAAUGGUUAAUUUAAUGAUCCUCUAGUAGAGAUUAAAAGACUAAGUUACUUUAGGGAUAACAGCGUAAUUUUCUUUGAGAGUUCUUAUCGACAAGAGUAGUUGCGACCUCGAUGUUGAAUUAAAAUUAUUCUGAUAAAUGCAGUAGUUUAUAUAGUAAGUCUGUUCGACUUUUAAAAUUUU
rnacentral:rRNA from 1 species